ensembl:lncRNA
CCCUGGUCUAUGCAGACAGCUCAUCAAGAGAAGGCUUGAUUUACUUUGUUGAUAUGGCAGUAUGCACCCCGCUAGAGGCUAUACUGAUUACUCUGCAUAUUAAUUUGGUCAGUGCAUUUAUCUAGCCUUUCUCUUUUGUCUAUGAGGAGGAUGGAGGCUGAUGACACUGGGGAAAAGCUGGCAGAGAAAGGACUUUUCUGUAGAAGUAUCUUAUAUCACUUAUAACUGCUUCCCUGUGCUCCUAGGUCUGAAGGAAACAUGCUUCACAGUGAUUGCUAACUGCUUCCCUGUGCUCCUAGGUCUGAAAGUAACAUGCUUCACAGUGAUUGCUAACGGCUUCCCUGUGCUCCUAGGUCUGAAAGAAACAUGCUUCACAGUGAUUGCUAACGGCUUCCCUGUGGUCCUAGGUCUGAGAGAAACAUGCUUCACAGUGAUUGCUAACUGCUUCCCUGUGGUCCUAGGUCUGAGAGAAACAUGCUUCACAGUGAUUGCUAACGGCUUCCCUGUGGUCCUAGGUCUGAGAGAAACAUGCUUCACAGUGAUUGCUAACGGCUUCCCUGUGGUCCUAGGUCUGAGAGAAACAUGAUUGCCAAAGAAAACGUAUUUGUUGUAUGUUUGUCAGCAAAACCAUUAUCCUAAAUUCAUUAAUUAUUCAUAUUAUUCCUGUGCUUGCUAAUUUUGCCAAGUGUGAUUAAUAUUUGGUUUGGUUUAGUUCCAUCACAGACUUCAAACUGUCUGAUGUGUGUUUUAUGUGUGCUGCUGAUAAUUGCACAGUGAGAU